rnacentral:rRNA from 1 species
GAUGAACGCUGGCGGCGUGCCUAAUACAUGCAAGUCGAGCGAACAGACGAGGAGCUUGCUCCUCUGACGUUAGCGGCGGACGGGUGAGUAACACGUGGAUAACCUACCUAUAAGACUGGGAUAACUUCGGGAAACCGGAGCUAAUACCGGAUAAUAUAUUGAACCGCAUGGUUCAAUAGUGAAAGACGGUUUUGCUGUCACUUAUAGAUGGAUCCGCGCCGCAUUAGCUAGUUGGUAAGGUAACGGCUUACCAAGGCAACGAUGCGUAGCCGACCUGAGAGGGUGAUCGGCCACACUGGAGCGGAGACACGGUCCAGACUCCUACGGGAGGCAGCAGUAGGGAAUCUUCCGCAAUGGGCGAAAGCCUGACGGAGCAACGCCGCGUGAGUGAUGAAGGUCUUCGGAUCGUAAAACUCGGUUAUUAGGGAAGAACAAAUGUGUAAGUAACUAUGCACGUCUUGACGGUACCUAAUCAGAAAGCCACGGCUAACUACGUG